GACGAACGCUGGCGGCGUGCUUAACACAUGCAAGUCGUACGGUAAGGCCCUUUCGGGGGUACACGAGUGGCGAACGGGUGAGUAACACGUGAGUAACCUGCCCACAACUUUGGGAUAACGCUAGGAAACUGGUGCUAAUACUGGAUAUGUGCUCCUGCUGCAUGGUGGGGGUUGGAAAGCUCCGGCGGUUGUGGAUGGACUCGCGGCCUAUCAGCUUGUUGGUGGGGUAGUGGCCUACCAAGGCGGCGACGGGUAGCCGGCCUGAGAGGGUGACCGGCCACAUUGGGACUGAGAUAGGGCCCAGACGCCUACGGGAGGCAGCAGUGGGGAAUAUUGCACAAUGGGCGCAAGCCUGAUGCAGCAACGCCGCGUGCGGGAUGACGGCCUUCGGGUUGUAAACCGCUUUCAGCAGGGACGAAGCUUUUUGUGACGGUACCUGCAGAAGAAGCACCGGCUAACUACGUG
rnacentral:rRNA from 1 species